AUUGAACGCUGGCGGCAGGCCUAACACAUGCAAGUCGAACGAGCGGCGGACGGGUGAGUAAUGUAUGGGAACCUGCCCGAUGGAGGGGGAUAACUACUGGAAACGGUGGCUAAUACCGCAUACCAUCAGAUGAACCCAGAUGGGAUUAGCUUGUGGGUGGGGUAAAGGCUCACCUAGGCGACGAUCACUAGCUGGUCUGGGAGGAUGAUGAGCCACACUGGAACUGAGACACGGCCCAGACUCCUACGGGAGGCAGCAGUGGGGAAUAUUGCACAAUGGGCGCAAGCCUGAUGCAGCCAUGCCGCGUGUAUGAAGAAGGUCUUCGGGUUGUAAAGUACUUUCAGCGGGGAGGCGUUACCCGCAGAAGAAGCACCGGCUAACUCCGUGCCAGCAGCCGCGGUAAUAC
rnacentral:rRNA from 1 species